rnacentral:lncRNA from 1 species
AAGUGAUCUGUCACCUCAGCCUCCUGAAUAUCUUUCUAAAUAAAAAGGAUUGAUUAAACAGAAAUACCUAUAAACUAUUCUUUUGGAACUUCCGUAAUGGGACUAUCAGGGUGUCUUGCACCUAGUAAGUGUUCAAUAUAUACUUCUUGAAUAUGUAAAUAUAAAUAAACCCAGAACUAGGCCAUUAGGUGAACUAGACAUGAGGUGAAAUGGAACAUUCGUGGUGGGUGCCGCUCUUGUGGGAGAACAAUGGGUAGAAGUUCAUUUGUCCCUGUCUAUAGGACUUUUGGUGAGACAAGAUUACCUCCAUGCAUUUGGCAGGAAGAAGGAAG